AACGUAGGUGGCGAGCGUUAUCCGGAUUCAUUGGGCGUAAAGAGCUUGUAGGUGGCCGUGUAAGUUGGACGUGAAAACUCCGGGCUUAACUUGGAGAGGCCGUUCAAUACUGCACAGCUAGAGGAUGUCAGAGGGAAGUAGAAUUCCUGGUGUAGCAGUGAAAUGCGUAGAUAUCAGGAGGAAUACCCGUGGCGAAGGCGGCUUCCUGGGACAUAACUGACACUGAGAAGCGAAAGCUAGGGGAGCAAACGGG
rnacentral:rRNA from 1 species